rnacentral:rRNA from 1 species
CAGCAGUAGCCGCGGUAAUACAGAGGGUGCGAGCGUUAAUCGGAUUUACUGGGCGUAAAGCGUGCGUAGGCGGCUAAUUGAGUCGGAUGUGAAAUCCCCGAGCUUAACUUGGGAAUUGCAUUCGAUACUGGUUAGCUAGAGUGUGGGAGAGGAUGGUAGAAUUCCAGGUGUAGCGGUGAAAUGCGUAGAGAUCUGGAGGAAUACCGAUGGCGAAGGCAGCCAUCUGGCCUAACACUGACGCUGAGGUACGAAAGCAUGGGGAGCAAACAGGAUUAGAUACCCCCGUAGUCCCUGUCUCUUAUAC